rnacentral:rRNA from 1 species
GUAAUGCUUAGGAAUCUGCCUAUUAGUGGGGGACAACGUUCCGAAAGGAGCGCUAAUACCGCAUACGUCCUACGGGAGAAAGCAGGGGACCUUUGGGCCUUGCGCUAAUAGAUGAGCCUAAGUCGGAUUAGCUAGUUGGUAGGGUAAAGGCCUACCAAGGCGACGAUCUGUAGCGGGUCUGAGAGGAUGAUCCGCCACACUGGGACUGAGACACGGCCCAGACUCCUACGGGAGGCAGCAGUGGGGAAUAUUGGACAAUGGGGGGAACCCUGAUCCAGCCAUGCCGCGUGUGUGAAGAAGGCCUUUUGGUUGUAAAGCACUUUAAGCGAGGAGGAGGCUACCUAGAUUAAUACUUUAGGAUAGUGGACGUUACUCGCAGAAUAAGCACCGGCUAACUCUGUGCCAGCAGCCGCGGUAAUACAGAGGGUGCGAGCGUUAAUCGGAUUUACUGGGCGUAAAGCGUGCGUAGGCGGCCAAUUAAGUCAAAUGUGAAAUCCCCGAGCUUAACUUGGGAAUUGCAUUCGAUACUGGUUGGCUAGAGUAUGGGAGAGGAUGGUAGAAUUCCAGGUGUAGCGGUGAAAUGCGUAGAGAUCUGGAGGAAUACCGAUGGCGAAGGCAGCCAUCUGGCCUAAUACUGACGCUGAGGUA